GACAGAGGAUGCAAGCGUUAUCCGAAAUGAUUGGACGUAAAGCGUCUGUAGGUGGCUUUUUAAGUUCGCUGUCAAAUCCCAGGGCUCAACCCUGGACAGGUGGUGAAAACUACUAAGCUAGAGUACGGUAGGGGCAGAGGGAAUUUCCGGUGGAGCGAUAAAAUGCGUAGAGAUCGGAAGGAACACCAACGGCGAAAGCACUCUGCUGGGCCGACACUGACACUGAGAGACGAAAGCUAGGGGAGCGAAU
rnacentral:rRNA from 1 species